AGCGGCAAAAGCUCAAAUUUGAAAUCUGGCACCUUCGGUGUCCGAGUUGUAAUUUGAAGAUUGUAACCUUGGGGUUGGCUCUUGUCUAUGUUUCUUGGAACAGGACGUCACAGAGGGUGAGAAUCCCGUGCGAUGAGAUGCCCAAUCCUAUGUAAGGUGCUUUCGAAGAGUCGAGUUGUUUGGGAAUGCAGCUCUAAGUGGGUGGUAAAUUCCAUCUAAAGCUAAAUAUUGGCGAGAGACCGAUAGCGAACAAGUACAGUGAUGGAAAGAUGAAAAGAACUUUGAAAAGAGAGUGAAAAAGUACGUGAAAUUGUUGAAAGGGAAGGGUUUGAGAUCAGACUCGAUAUUUUGUGAGCCUUGCCUUCGUGGCGGGGUGACCCGCAGCUUAUCGGGCCAGCAUCGGUUUGGGCGGUAGGAUAAUGGCGUAGGAAUGUGACUUUGCUUCGGUGAAGUGUUAUAGCCUGCGUUGAUGCUGCCUGCCUAGACCGAGGACUGCGAUUUUAUCAAGGAUGCUGGCAUAAUGAUCCCAAACCGCCCGUCUU
rnacentral:rRNA from 2 species